GGCGACAUAGCCAAGCGGCUAAGGCAUGGGAUUGCAAAUCCUUGAUCCCCAGUUCGAAUCUGGGUGUCGCCUCCA
rnacentral:tRNA from 2 species